CACAUGCAGUCGAGGGGCAGCAUGAACUUAGCUUGCUAAGUUUGAUGGCGACCGGCGCACGGGUGAGUAACACGUAUCCAACCUGCCGAUGACUCGGGGAUAGCCUUUCGAAAGAAAGAUUAAUACCCGAUGGCAUAGUUCUUCCGCAUGGUAGAACUAUUAAAGAAUUUCGGUCAUCGAUGGGGAUGCGUUCCAUUAGGUUGUUGGCGGGGUAACGGCCCACCAAGCCUUCGAUGGAUAGGGGUUCUGAGAGGAAGGUCCCCCACAUUGGAACUGAGACACGGUCCAAACUCCUACGGGAGGCAGCAGUGAGGAAUAUUGGUCAAUGGACGAGAGUCUGAACCAGCCAAGUAGCGUGAAGGAUGACUGCCCUAUGGGUUGUAAACUUCUUUUAUACGGGAAUAAAGUGAGGCACGCGUGCCUUUUUGUAUGUACCGUAUGAAUAAGGAUCGGCUAACUCCGUGCCAGCAGCCGCGGUAAUACGGAGGAUCCGAGCGUUAUCCGGAUUUAUUGGGUUUAAAGGGAGCGUAGGCGGACGCUUAAGUCAGUUGUGAAAGUUUGCGGCUCAACCGUAAAAUUGCAGUUGAUACUGGGUGUCUUGAGUACAGUAGAGGCAGGCGGAAUUCGUGGUGUAGCGGUGAAAUGCUUAGAUAUCACGAAGAACUCCGAUUGCGAANGCAGCCUGCUGGACUGUAACUGACGCUGAUGCUCGAAAGUGUGGGUAUC
rnacentral:rRNA from 1 species